rnacentral:lncRNA from 1 species
AGCCAGUACUCUUAUUCACUGAGCUAUCUCUCCAGCCCCUCUCCUUUCUUUUUAGAUAUGGUCUCAUGUAACACAGGCUGAGGCUGGCCCUCUGAUCCUAUUGCCUCUACCUUCCAAAAGCUGGGAUUAAUGAGUGUCACACCUUGCCCAGUGUGUGUGUCCUCAGGCUUGUUCCCUCUCUAGAUGUACAAGCCAGGCAAAAGUUAUAUUGUGGAGCCACACACCAGCUCUAGAAUGGCUCCUUCUUCCCCUAUAGCCUCUUAUUCCCUUUCUUUCUUUUUCUUCUUUCUUUUCUUUUUUCCUCUCUCUCUCUCUCUCUCUCUCUCUCUCUCUCUCUCUCUCUCUGUCUGUCUCUCUCUCGACAAAGUCUCAGUUUGUAGUCCAGGCUGGCCCAGAACAUCCUAUGUAAUCUGAGAUAACCUAGAAUCUGCAAUCCUCCUCUUGUGUGUCACAAGUGCUUGGUUUACAGGUAUGGGGCACCAUGCCCAGCUAGAGUAUUCUUUUUAAGGGGUGAAACUGAUCACACCUAAAAUCCAUCUACAGUCUUCAUAUCAUUCACAAUAAAAAAAAAGUUCUUGCUACAGUCAAGAGACCCCUUCUCUCUGUCAAUAUCUAGUGCCUGUUUCCUCUCACCUGUCAGGAUGGAGCCACUGCCAAGCCCUGGUUUCAUUCUGGUAGAUUUCAAAGAGAAAGCCAUUAAGAUUUGACAAGGCAGCUAGGUGGUGGCAGCUCAUGCCUUUAAUUCCAGCACUCAGGAGGUAGAGGCAGGCAGAUCUUGGUGUUCAAACCAAGUCUACAGAGUAAGUUCUAGGACAGUCUGGGCUACACAGAGCAACCCUGUCUUGAAGAGCAAAAGCAAACAGAAAGAUUUGCCAAGGGCUUGGAGGUGAAUUGUGAGAGGAGCGAUGAAGUCAAGGAUGUCUGUGGUAGUGCUUAUUGUCUAGACCUCAGUAUCCUCUUGCUUCCAGAGCCACAUCAUGGCAAAGGUGACGGGGAGGCUCUGGUGACGCUGAACAGACCUGGCACUGCUGCUCUGAUCUUGCCACCCUCUGGCACUCUUGACACUCCCUGUUUCAAGUGAGGAAACAUGUCACAAAUGUGAAGUGAGUGACCCAGGCCACAUAGCUGGAAAGUCACCACUCCAGCCCCGAAGAAACAUAUGAGGCCACGGACUGCACCUUCAGCAGAGGCAUUACAGUGCUGACCCUAGAAUCUGACUGCCUGCGUGUAAUCCCGACUCUGCCAAUUACCAACAGCCUCUCUGUGCCCGUGUUUCCUCAUCAGAAAAAGGCAGUGAGUUGUGACAAUGCGUCCACCCUGGCUAGCAUCUCUGUGAAGACUGAAGGAGAGCGUGUGUAUGGUGGACUUGGCAUUGUGCUGCUGUUAUCACUACUGUUCUCUCUGCUCUAGGUCUGAGCUUCUCCCCUGACCAUGGCAGACCUGCCUGGGCUUGUUUCCCAAACUCACAUGGCAGCUUACAAAGUCCAUAACACCAGUUCCACCAUUUUCUUCUGAUCUCUAUGAGCACCAUACAUACUCACAGUGCAUUUCCAUACAUGCAGGUAAAAUUUUCAUACACAUAAAAUAAAAUAAAUUUUAAAAAUCAAGGGGUUGGGGUUGGAGAGAUGGCUCAGUGGAUGAAAGUAUUGGCUGCUCUUCCAGAGGACCUGGGUUUGAUUUCUACCUGGUAUCUCACAAUGGUCUUUAACUCUAGUUCUGCUACCUUCUGCUGGCCUCCACAGACACUGCUGGGAUGUGAUGCACAGACAUUCACAGAGGCCAAACAUCCAUGCACAUAACAAUAAGUGUGUUGAUGGACAUCUGCAGUCCCAGGUGUGUUGAUGGACAUCUUCAAUCCCAAGUGUGUUGAUGAACAUCUGCAGUCCCAGGUGUGUUGAUGGACAUCUGCGAUCCCAGGUGUACUGAUGGACAUCUGUAAUUCCAGGUGUACUGAUGGACAUCUGCAAUCCCAGGUGUAUUGAUGGACAUCUUCAACCCCUAGUGUGUUGAUGGACAUCUGCAGUCCCAGGUGUACUGAUGGACAUCUUCAAUCCCAGGUUUACUGAUGGACAUCUUCAAUCCCAGGUGUAUUGACAUCUGCAGUCCCAGGAGUACUGAUAGACAUCUGCAAUCCCAGGUGUACUGAUGGACAUCUGCAGUCCCAGGUGUACUGAUGGACAUCUUCAAUCCUAAGUGUAUUGAUGGACAUCUUCAAUCCCAGGUGUGUUGAUGGACAUCUUUAAUUCCAGGUGUACUGAUGGACAUCUGCAGUCCCAGGAGUAUUGAUGGACAGCAAUCCCAAUGCUGGCAAGACAGACAGGCACAGCUCUGAAGCUCACUGACCAAUAAAUAUAACUGAACCCAUGUCAAUGAGAGACCCUGUCUCAAAAGGUAAUGGAGGGGCCAGAAAGAUGAUUCACCAGUUAAGAGCAUUUGUUACUCUUCCAGAGGACUGGAGUUUGGAUCCCAUCACUCAUACAGAGGCUUACAACCAUUCAUAACUCCAGUUCCAUGGGAUCCAGUGCCCUCUUCUGACCUCCAAGGACACAAAGCAUGCAUGUGGUACACAUACAUACAUGCAAGAAAACCACAGACACAUGUAAAAUAAAAACAAAUAAGUCUUUAAAAUUAAAUAAAUUAGCAGGGGGCUGGGGCUAGAGAGAUGGCUCAGCACUUAAGAGCACUGACUGCUCUUCCAGAGGACCCUGGUUCAAUUCCCAAUGUCCACAUGGCAGCCCACAACUGUCUAUAAUUCCAAGAUCCAACACCCUCACACAGACAUAUAGGCAGGCAAAACACAAAUGCACAUAAAAUAAAAAUAAAUAAUUUUUUAAAAAACUAAAUGAAAUGGAGAGUGACUAAGGAGGAUACUUGGCUUUGACCUUUGACCUCUACAUUCAUGUGUUCAAUGUGUAUCUGAAUUUGUACAUGAAUUCACCCAAGAACACAUGUAUGUGCACACACCACACACAAAGAAAUAAAAUGUAUGUUUAUUAUUCUCCUAGUAAUGUAAAUGCAUUGAUAAAAAUGAGAAGUCCCAGGACAGCACAAAAGGAGACUGUCCCCUGCUGUACCCCACCUCAGACAUAAUGUCUGUUGACAUUUUCCAUGUCAUAGUUAAGCACAAGAUACAGGGAGCUGUAUUCAAAGAAGGGAGAAGGGGGACAUGGACUUUGGUGUUUGUGCCCUUUUCCACUGUUUGUAUUGUAUCAGAAAAAAAAUGUCAAAUAAACCGCAGGGAAAAUAUCAACUAUUGCAACACUCCUCUAUGUGUAGAGAUGUAUCACACAUUCUUUUUCUACAAAAAUAGGGGUCGCUUUGUGCCUAUGAUUUUGAAACCUGAAUUUAUCAUGUCAAGAUAACAAGAUGUCUUGAAUGCUUUUCCAGGAUGCUGCAACUUAUCUUUUUUUUUUUUUAAAGCACAUUGCAAACUAUUCAAACUGAAAAGGCAAAAUCAGACAAGCAAGUUUCCUACUUGAGCCUCCCUGUCCUUUGUUCCUCUCUACAGAGGCAGCCGGGAGGGUCCAUUUCUUUCUAUUUCUUUCCCUCCUUCUAGACCAAGCUGGCCUUGAACACACAAAUAACUGAAG